GUACACUCCUGCGGGAGGCAGCAGUGGGGAAUAUUGGACAAUGGGCGCAAGCCUGAUCCAGCCAUGCCGCGUGAGUGAUGAAGGCCCUAGGGUUGUAAAGCUCUUUCACCGGUGAAGAUAAUGACGGUAACCGGAGAAGAAGCCCCGGCUAACUUCGUGCCAGCAGCCGCGGUAAUACGAAGGGGGCUAGCGUUGUUCGGAUUUACUGGGCGUAAAGCGCACGUAGGCGGACUAUUAAGUCAGGGGUGAAAUCCCGGGGCUCAACCCCGGAACUGCCUUUGAUACUGGUAGUCUUGAGUUCGAGAGAGGUGCGUGGAAUUCCGAGUGUAGAGGUGAAAUUCGUAGAUAUUCGGAGGAACACCAGUGGCGAAGGCGGCUCACUGGCUCGAUACUGACGCUGAGGUGCGAAAGCGUGGGGAGCAAACAGGAUUAGAUACCCCGGUAGUCCC
rnacentral:rRNA from 1 species